rnacentral:rRNA from 1 species
AUUGAACGCUGGCGGCAUGCUUUACACAUGCAAGUCGAACGGUAACAGGCCGCAAGGUGCUGACGAGUGGCGAACGGGUGAGUAAUGCAUCGGAACGUGCCCAGUCGUGGGGGAUAACGCAGCGAAAGCUGUGCUAAUACCGCAUACGAUCUAUGGAUGAAAGCGGGGGACCGUAAGGCCUCGCGCGAUUGGAGCGGCCGAUGUCAGAUUAGGUAGUUGGUGGGGUAAAGGCUCACCAAGCCAACGAUCUGUAGCUGGUCUGAGAGGACGACCAGCCACACUGGGAAUGAGACACGGCCCAGACUCCUACGGGAGGCAGCAGUGGGGAAUUUUGGACAAUGGGCGCAAGCCUGAUCCAGCAAUGCCGCGUGCAGGAAGAAGGCCUUCGGGUUGUAAACUGCUUUUGGACGGAACGAAAAGGUUUGGGUUAAGACCCUGGGCCGAUGACGGUACCGUAAGAAUAAGCACCGGCUAACUACGUGCCAGCCGCCGCCGUAA